rnacentral:tRNA from 1 species
GCGUCCUUAGCUCAGCUGGAUAGAGCGGCGGCCUUCUAAGCCGUAGGUCAGGGGUCCGAUUCCUCUAGGACGCACCA